rnacentral:rRNA from 1 species
GACGAACGCUGGCGGCGUGCUUAACACAUGCAAGUCGAACGGAAAGGCCCUGCUUUUGUGGGGUGCUCGAGUGGCGAACGGGUGAGUAACACGUGAGAAACCUGCCCUUGACUUUGGGAUAACUUCAGGAAACUGGGGCUAAUACCGGAUAGGAGCUCCUGCUGCAUGGUGGGGGUUGGAAAGUUUCGGCGGUUGGGGAUGGACUCGCGGCUUAUCAGCUUGUUGGUGGGGUAGUGGCUUACCAAGGCUUUGACGGGUAGCCGGCCUGAGAGGGUGACCGGCCACAUUGGGACUGAGAUACGGCCCAGACUCCUACGGGAGGCAACAGUGGGGAAUAUUGCACAAUGGGCGGAAGCCUGAUGCAGCAACGCCGCGUGCGGGAUGACGGCCUUCGGGUUGUAAACCGCUUUCGCCUGUGACGAAGCGUGAGUGACGGUAAUGGGUAAAGAAGCACCGGCUAACUACGUG